rnacentral:SRP_RNA from 1 species
CUGUGCUAGACGGGGAGGUAGCGGUGCCCUGUAACCCGCAACCCGCUGCAGCGGGGUUGAAUUCCUGCCCGAGGUAUGAUGCUUGUAGGGUCCUGGCCCGAGUAAGUGAUGAUGAUGACUUGGUCCUGCGCAACGGAGAACCAUGAACCCUGUCAGGUCCGGAAGGAAGCAGCAGUAAGUGGAUAUUUUCGUGUGCCGCAGGGAAGCCUGGUAGGAGUUAACUGCUCGGUUCCCGCUUAUGGGGUCAGAUCAGAGGCAGGUGCACAG